GACCUAGUGGUGAAUGGAUCAUGCCUGCUUCUCAUGUAGGAAGUACAGUAUGUUGUGCAAGGCAGGAGGCUUCGGUUCAAUUCCGGGCUGGGUCU